AAAGCGGUUUUUUUAAAAACUACUCCCAAAGUCAAAAAAUGUCUA
rfam:Musca domestica strain aabys unplaced genomic scaffold Scaffold609, whole genome shotgun sequence.